AGGAGCUUUGCCUCCGCACAGACACAAACUGAGACUUUUAGUCCUACAUUCACAUCAUCCAGUGGGUUUGAUUCAAAUGGAUUUAUAAAAAGGGCCACCACCUGCAAGAAGUAACGUGGAGGUGACGGCGCGCGCUCAGGCGAAGCAGGAGCGUUGGUGCAGGACGCUGACUCUUCACACAUGGCGUCAGGAUACUUCAGUCCACCAGCAGAGGAGACACCUGGGUGCUGACUUCAUCCUCCACAACAGAGGGCCGGCCGUUUGUGACCUUAGUGCUAAAUCAAGUUCAAAGAGGACCACUGGUGUUUGGCAGAUAGUUUUACAUAAGGGCAGAGGGAGAACAGUGUGUUUGGUCAACCUCUGGCUCCCCCUUUGAUUCGCAGCUCUCUGUGACCCCUGGCAGAGCGACACCACUUAAGGCCCUUCAUUCAGCCACACUGGUCGGUCUGAUAAGAAAUGGGGGUAACAAGUGAUCUGAUGUUGUACCACUUUGAAUUUUUAUGGUCUGGCAGUUUUACAUAAAAUGUCAUGCUUUUUAUAUGCACGAGAAAAUCCUCCACACAGAAAAGUCCCACUCAAGUAAAAGGCUGAAAUUAGAUUGGAGAAUUGGUAUGUAAAACAGUGAAUGAGACAUAAAG